GAUGAACGCUGGCGGCGUGCCUAAUACAUGCAAGUCGAGCGAACGGACGAGAAGCUUGCUUUUCUGAUGUUAGCGGCGGACGGGUGAGUAACACGUGGAUAACCUACCUAUAAGACUGGGAUAACUUCGGGAAACCGGAGCUAAUACCGGAUAAUAUUUUGAACCGCAUGGUUCAAAAGUGAAAGACGGUCUUGCUGUCACUUAUAGAUGGAUCCGCGCUGCAUUAGCUAGUUGGUAAGGUAACGGCUUACCAAGGCAACGAUGCAUAGCCGACCUGAGAGGGUGAUCGGACACACUGGAACUGAGACACGGUCCGGACCCCUACGGGAGGCAGCAGUAGGGAGUCUGCCGCAAUGGGCGAGAGCCUGACGGAGCAACGCCGCGUGAGUGAUGAAGGUCUUCGGAUCGUAAAACUCUGUUAUUAGGGAAGAACAUAUGUGUAAGUAACUGUGCACAUCUUGACGGUACCUAAUCAGAAAGCCACGGCUAAGUACGUG
rnacentral:rRNA from 1 species